CCAACUGAGCUUUUAUUCUCUGUCAAAAUAUUUGUAUACUUUUUCAAUAAUCCUAAAAUAAUUCUAUAAUAACACUGUAAGGAUGGAAUUAUUAAUCUUUCUUUUCAGCAAAUGAGAAAGUUGAAAAAAUAUUCAAGGUAAUCCCACGGUAAGAAGCAGAUCUGAUAUUCAAAACCAAGACUAUCUGAUUCCAAAGUUUGUGUUUUUUCGGCAUAUAAUUUUUUUUCUUAGCUGUAAAUAUAUUUCCACCCUUUGUUCAGGCAUCUCAGACACAAAUGAGGGGAAAUAUGUAGAACAAAACAGUAUUAUGGUAUACCUUAGCUGAAUUUUUGUUUCUUCUCUUGUAUCACUCCAUUUGUAACAGCAGCUAGGUGAUACUGUUAAAAAUAUAACCUAGAUCUUAGGAAACUUCUUCUCAGACUGUCCGGUGCAAGUCCAUUCCCACUCAAGUCAAACCCAAUGUCCUUCCAAUGGGCUACCUGAUCCCACAGAUCUUCUCAUUUUUCUGAUCUCCUGUCUUACUCUCCUUUCUGUUAUUACUGCUGCAGUUACACUGUCCACCUUGGUGUGCUUUAAACACACAGCCAGCCUCUUGCCUCUGGACUUGCACUGCCUGGUCUUUUGCCAGAAGGUUCUUCCUGCCCAAUCUUUCUUCUUCUCUAUAUCCUCACCUCCAUGAAAUGUACCAUGGGUUUUUAUCUUCUUUUUUCACUAUGAUAACUCCAAUCCUAAAGGAAUCCAGGUCCUAGAGGACAUAUUAAUGAAGGGGCCUCUUAUAAAGGUAUGAACAGGUUAAGGGAAACUAAUAAGGUAUGGUGAAGUACUCCUCAGCUGGCAUCACACAUAGGCGUGUCUAAUAUGAAGGAUAACUCCUUUUCAGCUUCAGUAAGACUUUGCACCUUGUGUAGACAGGAUAUUUUCCCUUGCCCUAUGCAUCUCUUCUUCAGGGCUGUCAGCUCAGCAGUAUAUUUUUAUAAUUGACAAUUUCCAACAGGUUACUUGGUGGGAUUUCUAUUUCUAGCAUUAGUGUUAGGAAAAGUGAAGGAAUUCUCAUCUUAAGUUAAAUGUUAUUUAACCCCUGGACAACUGUAUGUAGUCUUUGAUUAUCAGUGGUAAACGGUACUAGAAUUUCUAAUGCUGUUGUUUUGAUAUUGGACACUUUUACAUUAUGGAUAGUUUGGGGAGGGGUGUAUAUCAGCUAAUUAAACUCUUAGAAAAGUUUUAAUUUCCUAAUAAGAGCUUAAUGAGACAGAUAUAAGCAUAAAACUAGCCAGACUCCUUUACAAUUUCAGAAUAUUCAAAAAGGGAUACAAAAAUGUAAGGGGUAGGAAAACCAAGGAGGGAGUGUAUAACAAAUAAUUUGGA
rnacentral:lncRNA from 10 species